GCCUGUAGUCUAGUGGCUAGGUGUAUGGCUGGGACCCUUGAGGUUGUUGGUUCAAGCCCCACUCCAGCCA